UACGUAGGUGGCAAGCGUUAUCCGGAAUUAUUGGGCGUAAAGCGCGCGUAGGCGGUGUUUUAAGUCUGAUGUGAAAGACCACGGCUCAACCGUGGAGGGGCAUUGGAAACUGGAAAACUUGAGUGCAGAAGAGGAAAGUGGAAUUCCAUGUGUAGCGGUGAAAUGCGUAGAGAUAGGGAAGAACACCAGUGGCGAAGGCGACUUUCUGGUCUGUAACUGACGCUGAGGUGCGAAAGCGUGGGGAGCAAACGGG
rnacentral:rRNA from 1 species